rnacentral:lncRNA from 1 species
UUUGCCACUGCGGUCGCUGCCUCUAUAAACUCGAACGCAAAAGUUGAGAUGGAGUAAUGACGCCAAGCUGCAGGCUUCUUGUCACUGGAUGAAAUAAUUUUUGCCCCAAUGCGACGAGUGAUCGUUUCAAUUCAAGGCGUUUUUAGGAGACGUUAAAAAAUCGUGCCAGUGUAACAUCGUUGUAAAUAGCCUUAGUGGAAAAUCACCGAUGGGCUUUACGGGCCUUGCCUGAUUUGCACGCGGACAGCAGUAUAUCAAGUUAUGGACGAAGUCGAAUCGUCGACAAGGUCAGCUGGGGUUUACAAUAAGCGCAGAAGGCAGAUAAGCACACGGCUGUGAUGUGCAGAAGCGUCCAAGUUACAUCCCAGAACAGAGCAGAAGCCAUAUUCGAAGCAUUAACGUACUACGGAACAAGGUACCAGCUCGGACGUAAAGCCCUGAUGAUGGCCAUUAUGGAGGUCAAAGGCGCUGAUCCCUCUACUGCAUUCAUGUUGCUAGAACGCAGUAUAGAAAUUUCUUUUUAAACGAGAUUUUUGCUGGGAUUAACGAGAAAAAUUUACUAGGUACCAACGCGUCACAAAGCUCCUGUUUCGAAUUAAAGGUAACAAUGUGCUUUUGCAUAGCUCGCAAACCCAGACUCAAGCCAUAGUCAUAUUCUGUCAUUAAAAGAAGACGGACGGACAUGCCGGAAUUUAAAAAACUGUGCAGUGGUGGCGAAACCACAUCCAUCCUAACCCCCGCUUAAAGAGGUGGUAUCUAGGUGUGAAGUUUGCAGGCCUCUAAAGUCGAGGCUUCGUGCGUGUAUUUUAAAGCCUACUUCUAUUUAUUUCAAAAUCUAGCUCCACGUAAAAUUGACGAGGCCAUCAUAACAGGCCAGGGAAGCAAACUGUAAAUUCUGUCAACUCCGGAUAAUUUGUUUUUAUUUUUGUUUAAUUUUUGCCUUGGAACCAAUUCAAAUGUUUUCUGAUAUGUUUCUACACCAAGUUACACUUAGGUUGCGGUAAGUUCUACCACCAUGUUUUCGGCUUCUCUUUAUCACUAUGCAAGGCUAAACGUUUUGCGUUAAUAACUGAAGUGAACGAAUUAUUGUAUGGAAGAGCAUAUUUUUUAUAAGUGAAAUUACUCUGUCAUAGAGCUUUUCUCAGUUGUUACACCCUUCCCUCUCAUUUUAUGAUCAAAGAAGCACCCGAAGCGUAGAUUCGACAAACGUGAAUAGCAUUUAACAGCUUAUCAUUUCAUUCAUGGUAUUAAGGUUGACCACCGAGUCAGGAAACAUUUAGCUUUGCCGCUGUAAAAGUAUUUCCGCGGUCGUCACUCUUUAUUCCAAAAUCCGUCACAAUCAUUACUAGCUUAUCCAUCUCAAAUAUUCGUGUGCAACAGCUUGGAAUAGUCUCUCAUUGUCAACAUGCAUCGUUGUAAAGGCUCGUUUACAGGACUUGGAAGAGAGAAACUCCCCCCCCCCCCCCGCUUGGGAGGGAAAAAUAUGCGAUGAAGAACGACAUACAUGACACAACCGUUAUAUUUAUUCUGUACGACAGUAUUCGAUGCAUAAUACGUAUUAUAUAGCAAUGGCGAAUCUGUGUAUAAAAGAAUAUGAAGCUUCUUUACUUGUUGGUUUUAGGCCUAGAUGGAAAAUUAAUUCUCCCCUACCCUAAACCCGAAAAUCUAAAUGAGGAGUUAAAUAUGUUUGUUAUGCGCAUUGAUCUACUUGAUAAUUAAUAUCUGCUAAAAAGCUUUGAAUCAAGAUUUGAUCGCGGCAAUGUAGUAUCAACGAACGGACACAACCAUAGUGUGACAAUCGAUUCUAACGGUUUCUAGCUGUGUUCUGCUAUUAUCGCUUCUGCUGACGUGUUGCCUGCCUAGAAGCAAUAGAAAAGAAAGUCAUAUCCUGCAUUUGCACAAACUUUCUGCCGGUGUCACCUAAAAAAACCUCAACUCUUGAAAGGCCAUGAAGCCCUUAUCAAAAAGUGCAACGCGAACGAUAUAUUUUAAUGGUGUAUUAUUGAACAAAUCUAUUAUGAAUUGAGUGUCUCUUCAAAUGCCCUUAGCUUUAACGAUGAAUAUAGGUAUUUAUCUUUCAGUACCACCUAUUUACUAUAAAGUUCAUAUCAGCAAUUUUAGCAUCGGGUUCGAAGAGAUAGUUCCUUUAGUUGAUAGUAGUUUUCGCAACAGCUUGCUGGCAACCUCUGCCACGUCGGAUCAUUUUUAAACGUUCUCUAUUGCGCAUACGGAGUUGUACCGAAAACGUCGAUGAUAAGGCAGUUGAUGUCAAUUGCAGCUGAUGUCUUCAAGAACCCGAUAGAUCGUUCGGCACGUCUGGGGACGCGUAUAGGAACGACAAGACAUUGAUUUCUAUGCCAACUAGUCCCAUUUCGCUCGCAGGUAAUGAAGCACCUCUUAUCGAAAAGCGUUCAUUGAUGCAGUUGGUCAGUUAUGAGUAUCUUAUUUAUGUUUCGACCCAAGUCUAUUGCUGAAGGAGAAAAUAGACUCAUCAAAUAGUCUUUCUUUUGAAUACAAGAUGCAUCAUAGUAAAUGGAUUCUGGUAUAAAUGAAGUUAGAAAACAAUCUUUGUUCUGUGUUCUGCACUAAACUUGCCCAGUGGCAACUGCUGUUGUUAUUUUACUAAAUACGUACAAAUUAACGCCUAAUAAGUUGUCCCGGAGCUCAUCAUAGACUAAGGAGUAAAAUUCUUCUAACGUACAUUUAUUGUUCCGACAAUUGUUAAACGGCCAUUUUCCGGCCGGCUUCCGCCGCUCAACCAUUCGACUGUCUUAAGACCAGCGAGAACGAGUCAAACGCUUCGUAUUUAUUGACGAGGCAUCUUUUCAGUAAUGAUUUAUUCCUUCUCUUGCACGACACCUACUUCAAUCCUUUCUUUCGCACGUUUCUUUUUCAAUUCUUUCGACAAGGGAUGAAGAGCCAUUGGAGAAAACUGGUCGAGGGCUCCUGAAGCCCCAAAAAUAUUCAUGUCGCAUUGUUUUCUUCAACUCGUAUCUUUUCCAAGGCCGUUAUUGUUUCUCCUUUCCCUUCUAUUCCAUAUCUCGUGGACUUACAACGGUUUCUUCUAAAAAAAGCUUCAAUUCAACCUGCACGCUGCUCACGUUAGCUUCUUCAAAUCAGUGCUCGCCUCUUCUUCUCAGUCGCUUGGUUCCGGCCUAUUGUUGUAAUGUACACAGCCUGAAUCGGUCACCUUGAAGUGAGAAACGAUCGUUUAAUAGUGCAAUGAGCCGUGCAAACAGCGCAAGCAUUAGACAGCUCACGCUCACAAUAAAUUUGAUCGUGUUUCUCUAAAUAUAAGGCUUGAAAGAGCUGCUUCCACGACACAAAUAAAAAAAAAAAAAAAAGGAUGAAUCUUAUCAAAGAACACAUACUACAAAUAAUUUUUUCGCCACCCUUGUUCGUACGAUUUGGUACAAACAAUCGAAAUUUCUUGCCGAAGAUUAAGAUAACUAAGAUUAUAAACGAUAACUUUACUUUUCCACUUUUAGACAGGCGUCCACACGUGUCGGUCAGGAACACUAAAUCACAAACAUACUUUUGAGUAAAUAAGAAAGUACAAGAUAGUCUUUUUCUUUUAGAUUUAAGCAAUUCAAGAUUGCCCUCAAAUGGAUAAGCUCAGAUAAUUGUGAUCAAAUCUUCGGCAUCUACGUCCAUUUGACCUUGCACUCGUUACGCAAACGUUCCUAAGCGCGUGUACUCCCGGAUAAGUCAGCCACUCACCGUUGAUGAGCACCUCAGCAAGACCAGCCUUCAUGCAAGCCCUUUGCCCUGUUAGAAGCAAAUGAUAAACAUUCAACAUAAAGGGACCACUGCACGAUAUAGCUGCUACAGCUGCUGCAGCAACUGGCUAAGCGGAGGCUAGAGGCCACAACUGUGAGAUAGUGGUUCGGCUGAGUCCUUCUUUCACGCGUAUUUUUCUGUGACUAACAGCCCGCAAGUCAACGGUGGUAUUAUUAAUAGAUAUAUGGCAUUUACUUUCGGACACUUUGCCGUUGGAGGCCAUGCCGAGAGUGCAACAGAGCACUGAGACCUCAUUCAAAUACAUUUGUAAAGCACACAGUUACAAAUG